GGCAGCGUGCUUGUAUCGCUCCGCCCCAGGUAGAAGGCCAUGUGCCCUCCGUAACGGUCACGCGCUGUAAAACCGUCGGCUCAGCCUACGCAAGUUCGAACCUUGCACCUGCCACCA
rnacentral:tRNA from 1 species